GAUGAACGCUGACAGCAUGCUUAACACAUGCAAGUCGAUGGGGAAGUGGUGCUUGCUCCUUGGUAACCAUGGCGGACGGGUGAGUAACGCGUAAGGAACUCGCCUGCGGGACUGGGAUAACAGCAGGAAACUGCUGAUAACACCUGCUAAGGUCAUUAAGCAGCAUAGCUUAGUGGUGAAAGGAGACGCUUGCGGAGAGCCUUGCGUCUUAUUAGCUAGUUGGUGGGGUAACGGCCCACCAAGGCGGGGAGAGGGGGCCGACCUGAGAGGGUGGACGGCCAAGAGGGGUCCGGGAGGCAGCCGUUAGGCCUACGGGAGGAAGCGGGGAAGAAUGAUGGAGAAAGGGGGCGAGCCUGAUGCAGGAAUUCGGUGUGCACAAAGACGGUUUUCGGAAUGAAAAGUGCUUUCAGAAGGGAAGAAGGAAGUGACGGUACCUGCAGAAGAAGCGACGGCUAAAUACGUG
rnacentral:rRNA from 1 species